CAGCACCUCAAGUGGUCAGGAUGAUUAUUGGGCCUAAAGCAUCCGUAGCCGGCGCUGUAAGUUUUCGGUUAAAUCUGUACGCUCAACGUACAGGCUGCCGGGAAUACUGCAGCGCUAGGGAGUGGGAGAGGUAGACGGUACUCGGUAGGAAGGGGUAAAAUCCUUUGAUCUAUGGAUGACCACCUGUGGCGAAGGCGGUCUACCAGAACACGUCCGACGGUGAGGGAUGAAAGCUGGGGGAGCAAACCGGAUUAGAUACCCGAGUAGUCC
rnacentral:rRNA from 1 species